UACGUAGGUGGCAAGCGUUGUCCGGAAUUAUUGGGCGUAAAGCGCGCGCAGGCGGCUAUGUAAGUCUGGUGUCAAAGCCCGGGGCUCAACCCCGGUACGCAUCGGAAACUGUGUAGCUUGAGUGCAGAAGAGGAAAGCGGUAUUCCACGUGUAGCGGUGAAAUGCGUAGAGAUGUGGAGGAACACCAGUGGCGAAGGCGGCUUUCUGGUCUGUAACUGACGCUGAGGCGCGAAAGCGUGGGGAGCAAACAGG
rnacentral:rRNA from 2 species